GGGCACCUGGGGUGUUCCAAAUGAAAGUGGUUAUGUGAAUCCUUUCAGGAAGGGCCCUUCCAUAAGUCUAUUAGCGAAGGAUCCAUGCGAUGGUCAUUUCAAAGAUGUCAUUUUAUUGUUUAUUGUCAUGUGAUCCUGGGAGGCAUCUGUCCACUAAAUCCAGUUGGGAGGAUGGUGAUCGUAAGGGCUUUCUUGAUGAAGGUUGCAUGAAGAUCUUGAGAAAAAUGCAACAAUAUAAUUCUCACCACCUUGGAUUAGAAAGAAACAACCAGAGAACUGCAAAUAUGUGCUCCAAACAACACGUGGCUCAGAAUUUCAAAACCCUUACAUUCUAGGAGGCAUAUCUGCAGCUGCAAGCCGCUGACAAACUCCAUCUUGUACAUCUGAGCCUGCAGAGAAGGGCGAGAGCGGUGAUAGAAUAUUGAUGCUCCUCUGGCAUGGGCCUCAUUCAAACCAAAUAGCUUUAUGUUAUUGUGACUGAUACAAUUUCACCGCGUGUACCUGCAUUAAAUUGACAUUCCCAAC
ensembl:lncRNA